rnacentral:rRNA from 1 species
AGAGUUUGAUCCUGGCUCAGGAUGAACGCUGGCGGCGUGCUUAAUACAUGCAAGUCGAACGAGCUGGAGCGAUCCAGCGAGUGGCGAACGGGUGAGUAACGCGUUGGUGACCUGCCCUGGAAUGGGGGAUACCAGACCGAAAGGUCUGCUAAUACCGCAUGCGGUUAUGAGGCUUAGAAACUUGUAACCAAAGUCGAAAGACGUUCCAGGAGGGACCUGCGUCCCAUCAGCUAGUUGGUAAGGUAACGGCCUACCAAGGCGAUGACGGGUAGGGGACCUGAGAGGGUGAUCCCCCACAAUGGAACUGAAACACGGUCCAUACACCUACGGGUGGCAGCAGUAGGGAAUAUUGCUUAAUGGGCGCAAGCCUGAAGCAGCAACGCCGCGUGUGCGAUGACGGCCUUCGGGUUGUAAAGCACUUUUCAUCGGGACGAGGAAGGACGGUACCGGUGGAAUAAGCCUCGGCUAACUACGUGCCAGCAGCCGCGGUAAAACGUAGGAGGCGAGCGUUAUCCGGAUUUACUGGGUGUAAAGCGCGUGCAGGCGGUUUGUUAAGUUGGGUGUGAAAGCUCCUGGCUCAACUGGGAGAGGUCGCUCAAGACUGGCAGACUGGAGCAUGGUAGGGGAAGGUGGAAUUCCGGGAGUAGUGGUGAAAUGCGUAGAUAUCCGGAGGAACACCAGUGGCGAAAGCGGCCUUCUGGACCAUGACUGACGCUCAGACGCGAAAGCCAGGGGAGCAAACGGGAUUAGAGACCCCGGUAGUCCUGGCUGUAAACGAUGUGAACUGGGCGCUGGGGGGG